GCCGCCGUAGCACAAUGGUAGUGCGUUGCUUUCCUAUUCAUUGUUAGGCAAAGGUUGUGGGUUCGAUCCCCACCGGCGGUU
rnacentral:tRNA from 1 species